rnacentral:lncRNA from 1 species
ACACCACCACGCCGUACGCUGCGUUAGCGGAAGUUUAAUGGCCCCAUUGGUGGGAUGCGUGGCCAAUAAAGGGCAAGAAUAAGGCGGAUUCCGCCUUCCUCGUGGCUGACUGGAUGCAUCCGCUGGUACUGAUUUACACAGGAACCACUCAGACUGCAUCCUUUCUUACUCUCCUGCAGGAAGAGAAUGAUCAUGAAGGGCAAAUGGCAGUGAAGCAAGAAGAGCUGGCUUCAGGCUCAGAAGAGAAUGCUGUGCCUCUUCCUCAUGGUUUGCGGUGCCCUGCAUGUUCAGAGAAACUUCUCUAGUAAUGAAUGAACUAUAGAAAUGAUCCCUGAAAAUAUGGUCUUGAUACUUUAUUUUUGUGGUGGUUUUUUUUGUUUUGUUCUGUUUUUGAUGGAAUUUUGCUCUUGUUGCCCAGGCUGGAGUGCAAUGGCACGAUCUCCACUCACUGCAACCUCCACCUCCCGGGUUCAAGCAAUUCUCCUGCCUCAGCCUCCCAAGUAGCUGGGAUUAUAGGCAUGUGCCACCAUGUCCAGCUAAUUUUGUAUUUUUAGUAGAGACGGUUUCUCCGUGUUGGUCAGGCUGGUCUAGAACUCCCUACCUCAGGUGAUCCACCCGCCUCGGCCUCCCAAAGUGCUGGGAUUACAGGGGUGAGCCACUGCGCCAGGUCAGGGCCAAAAGGAGCAGCUUGGGAUCCUUAUUCUGUGAAAAGAAGUUCACUUCUUUCUUAAUUCAGAUUUUGUGCUGGGCAAGGUGGGUCACGCCUUUAAUCCCAACACUUUGAGAGGCCAAGGUGGGCAGAUCACUUGAGGUCAGGAGUUCGAGAUCAGCCUGGCCAACAUGGUGAAAACCCGUCUCUACUAAAAAUACAAAAAUUAGCUGGGCAUGGUGGUGCACACCUGUAGUCCCAGCCACUCAGGAGGCUGAGGCACAGGAAUCCCUUGAACCCAGGAGGCAGAGGUUGCAGUGAGCUGAGAUUGUGCCACUGCACCCCAGCCUGGGCGACAGAGCAAGACUCCGUCUCAGACAAAAAAAAAAAAAUACAAAAAAAAAAAAAAACAAAGAUUUUUAAAUACCUAUUUGCCAAUUCAUAUGUAGUUGAUUUGGAGCAUGUACUACAAGAUUGGUUCUAAAUAUAUAUAAAUUAAGAGCUGAGAAAGUUAUUGCUAAGCUAAAUUCAACCAAUUACACUGUUUUUUUCUGCUCUCUCCUUGCACCUAUUUUAUUCUAAUUCUGUUUGUCAGGCUACUUACUUUUAUAAUCUUUUUUAGUGUGGAAACAGUAGAAAAAAGGUAGAGAAAAAUGAUAUCAUGAACACUUGUUUUUAAUUUGAAAAUUUUUUUUUAAAUAGAGACGAGGUCUCACUAUGUUGCUCAGGUUGAUCUCAAACUCUUGAGCUCAAGCGAUCCUCCCUCUUUGGCCACCCAAGGUGGCGGGAUUACAGAUAUGAGCCAUCACAGCAGGCCCAAAGCAGAUGUUUUAAUAAGCACUAUUACUCAAAGCUAGAUAUGUGAUUUUGAGCAAGGUAUUUUAUUUUCCUCUAAACUCCAAAUUACUCAUCAAGUGACAAUGUCUCUUGUUCAGGGGUUUUAUGAAAAUUAAGUAACAAUAAAAGUAAGAUAGCACAGUGUAGGCAUUCAGGAAUUAUAAGUUGAAGUUCCAACUCUUCCUCUACCUAUACCCCUUACUUUGUGAGAUUACAGGAAGGAUGACAAAAAAGGAUAUGUUGGGUUUUUUUUUGUUUUUUGUUUUUUGUUUUGAGACAGAGUUUCACUCUUGUUGCCCAGGCUGGAGUACAAUGGUGUGAUCUCAGCUCACUGCACCCUCCACCUCCCAGGUUCAAGUGAUUCUCCUGUCUCAGCCUCCCGAGUAGCUGGGAUUACAGGUGCAUGCCACCACACACAGCUAAUUUUUGUAUUUUUAGUAGAGUUUCAUCAUAUUGGUCAGACUGGUCUCGAACUCCUGACCUCAGGUGAUUCACCUGCCUCAGCCUCCCAAAGUGCUGGGAUUACAGGAAUGAGCCACCACGCCUGGCCUUUGUUGUUUUUUUGAGACAGAGUCUCCCUUUGUUGCCCAGGCUGGAUGGAGUGCAGUGGCACGAUCUCGGCUCCCUGCAACCUCCGCCUCCCAGGUUCAAGUGAUUCUCCUACCUCAGCCUCCUGAGUAGCUGGCAUUACAGGUGCGCUAUCACACCCAGCUCAUUUUUGUAUUUUUAGUAGAGACGAGGUUUCGCCAUGUUGGCCAGGCUGGUCUCAUACUCCUGACCUCAAGUGAUCCACCCACCUCGGCCUCCCAAAGUGCUGGGAUUACAGGUGUGAGUCACCGCGCCCAGCCCCAAAAAGGAUAUGUUUGCUGAGCCCUUUAAUUGUUGAAAAUGAACCUUGAAAAAAAGAAAAAUUAAUGAUAGGACUAGGAAUGUACACCAUCCAGGAGGUAGAAUUAAGAAAGUUUAAAUGCAAUAUGUGAAAACUAUACGCAGGCUGGGCGCAGUGGCUCACGCCUGUAAUCAUAACACUUAGGGAGGCCGAGGCUGAUGGAUCACUUGAGCUCAGGAGUUUGAGACCAGCCCGAGCAACAUAGUGAAACCCCAUCUCUACAAAAAAAAUACAAAAAUUAGCAGGGCAUGGUGGCUUAUGCCUUUACUCCCAGCUACUUGGGGGAUGAGGCAGGAGGAUUGCUUGAGCCCAGGAGGCGGAGGUUGCAGUGAGCCCAGAUCUCUCCACUGCACUCCAGUCUGGGCGACAGAGUCAGAUCCUGUCUCAAAACAAAAAAGAAGAAAAUUAUAGGCAAAGAAAUGUAGAUUUCUUUUAUUUAAUAUUUAAAAGAGAGUUGUUGUGAAGUUGAUAUGAAUUUAUGUGAAAUAAGACUACCAAGGCUGGGCGCUUGGCUCAUGCCUGUAAUCCCAGCACUUUGGGAGGCCAAGGUGGGAGGAUCACCUGUGGUCAGGGGUUCGAGACUAGCCUGGCCAACAUGGCGAAACCUUGUCUCUACUAAAAAUACAAAAAUUAACUGGGUGUGGUAGCGCACCUGUAAUGCCAGCUACUCAGGAGGCUGAGGCAGAAGAAUCGCUUGAAACUGGGCAGUGGAGGUUGCAGUGAACUGAGAUUGCACCACUGCACUCCAGCCUGGGCAACAGAGCAAAACUCCAUCUCAAAAAAAAAAAAAAAAAAAAAAGACUACCAGACUGAUGUGGUAUUUUUAGGAUUUUUUUUUCUUUUUUUUUUUUUUUUGAGAUGGCCCGACCUCUUCUUUUUUAUCAUAUGAUCUCUAACUGAUGUAUGUGACACAAUAAUACAAAACUAUUUGAGCUAUAAAAGAAAUAUGAAAGGCUUCUGUUUUCUUUUGUAGGCCUUCUGGAACUUUUGCCUCAGACUCAAAUACCAAUGACUCCUAAUCAUACCAAUAUCCCUACUCAUUGCCUACUUAUUUCUGGAUUUACAUAUUAUUUGACUCUCUCAUCUCAUAUCCUAGAGAAGUAUUUAGUAAGAGUUGGAUCUGGCCAGGUAGGGUGGCUAACGCCUGUAAUCCUAGCACUUUGGGAGGCUGAGGUGGGUGGAUCACCUAAGGACAGGAGUUGGAGAGCAGCCUGGCCAACAUGGUGUAACCCCAUCUCUACUAAAAAUACAAAGAUUAGCUGGGUGUGGUGGUGGGCACCUGUAAUCCCAGCUACUUGGGAGGCUGAGGCAGGACAAUUGCUUGAACCCUGGGGGCGGAGUUUGCAGUGAGCCAAGAUCGUGCCACUGCACUCCAGCCUGGGCGACAGAGUGAGACUCCGUCACAAAAAAAAAAAAAAAAAAAAAAAAAGUUGGAUUUAAUUUUCUAAGCAUUAGGUUAAAAUUUUUUUGCUAGAUAACAUGGUGUCCUAAGAUAAGCCAAGCAUUAUAAAGAUGGCUCUGAUGAUUGCCAGGAACGUAUUAUGUAUGCAGUAAUAAUAACACAUUGCAACAAAGCCAUGUUUUCUCCCAUUUUUAAAAACAUGUUUUGAUGAUGAAGGAUAUAAAAUACAGAGUCACAGUGAAAGCCUGCAGCUUGAGUACGUUUGUAAUCAGAUGAUUACAGAUGAUUGCUAUGAGGCUAAUGAAGUGAAAUUUACUCCUAGGUUUGAGAGUAGAUCAUAAAAGGAACAUUAAGGAGAUUAUAGUCUCAAUCAUGAACAUAUUCACCUAAUUAACAUUUUCCUACCUUUGAAUUUAAAUAUCAAAAGUAGAUACGUGAUAGUUGUUGAUUUGUAAUACAAAAUUUACUACUUUUGAUAGUCAUUUCUCACUUAAGCUUGUAGCAUGUAAUAAUUUUUUUUCCCACAAAUCUUUUCCUACAUUAAAAAAAUAUACAUAAAAAACUUGGCUGGGCGUGGUGGCUCUCGCCUGUAAUCCCAGCACUUUGGGAGGCCGAGGUGGGCAGAUCACUUGAGGUCAUGAGUUCGAGACUGGCCUGGCCAACAUGGCUAAACCCCAUCUCUACUAAAAAUACAAAAAUUAGCCAGGCGUGGUGCCACAUGCCUGUAGUACUAGCUACUCAGAAGGCUGAGGCAGGCUGAGAAGGCUGAGGCAGGCUGCAGUGAGCCAAGAUCGUGCCACUGCACUCCAGCCUAGGCAACAGGGCGAGACUCCGUCUUAAGGAAAAAAACAAAAAACUUAUUUGGGUUGGGCACAGUGGCUCACGCCUAUAAUCCCAGCACGUUGGGAGGCCAUGGUGGGUGGAUCACUUGAGGUCAGGAGUUUGAGACCAUCCUGGGCAAAAUGGUGAAACCCAGUCUCAACAAAAAAUACAAAAAACUAGCUAGGUGUGGUGGCGCUUGCCUGUAGUCCCAGCUACUGGGGAAGCUGAGGCAUGAUCACUUGAGCCUAGGAGGCAGAAGCUGCAGUGAGCAGAGAUUGCAGGAUUACACCACUGCACUCCAGCCUGGGCAACAGAGUGAAACUCUGUCUCUAAAACAAACAAACAAACAAAAAAACCUUAUUUGACUACUUCUUGAAGCAAAAUGCGCAGUGAAAAGAAAACUGUUUCUUUCAAAAAACAAAAUCAUAAAUAUAUACCUAGUAUAAGCGGGAUAAAUUAUACCCUUUGUCCUCAGCCCCUGCGAGAAUGCUCAGGGCAGAAGAUAAAUCUCCCUCUUUCCCCAUACAGAUGCCUUAACUACCUAUUUGAUCAGCUAAGAUAAGGAAAAGCAAGGAUUUCAAAGCCUUGCUGGGUCCUUGAGUAUUAGAUGAUAGCCCUGCAGGUAGAAGACUCUGUAACAUGAAACUAUCAUUAUGGUUCUCAUUCCUUAUGUGCAAGUAGGCCUCUGGGCGUGAUUAGGAAAUUGGAGGAUAAAAAAUGAGGAACAGAAACCACUCUGCACAAAUAACAUAAAGUACUACAUUACAUGGAAUGUGUUUUAUUUAGAAAAAUAUUUCUCUUUAACGUGAUUCACUCAAGAGAUGUUAUUCAUCACCUAUUAUGCGCCAGGUAUAUUCUGAGUCCUGGAGAGACAACAUUUAACAAAGUCCCUGUCCUCAUGUAGUUUAUUUUCUCGUGGGCAAACAGACAAUAUCUAUUAUUUUUAUUAAAAACAAUGUAAGGUAAUUUCAGCCAAUGAUAAGUAUGCUGCCGGGUGAGAUAUUCAAAAUAUUUAACACAGGUAUGGCCAGCUUGGUGUCACAUCUUCAUGUUCUCUCUUGUAUUUGCUGUCUCCCUUCCUGCCUCACUUCCCUUUCCUGCUCACUCCAACUUCCUUGACAUUGAACUUCCCAAAAAAGUGUUAGUAUAUAAGCUUUAGUUUGUGAUUGUGUUCCCAUAUACUCCCCAUCUUACCCCCACAUCACCCCCAAUUAGAACAUAGGCCAACCUUAGCCUUCUUGUGACAAGUGUUAUACUUUUAGUUGCUGGAUCUUGGGAAGGUCUAGGAGAUGCUGGGAUAGCAAGAUCAGGGGAUGUCUUGGGAAACACCACACCAUCCUCUAAUUCUCCUCCAUCCCAGUUCUCUUUCAGUCCCUUUGAUUCUCCUGAAUGUAAGUGUCCCAAAGUCCACAAAAACUUCUGUGUUCCCUCUUUUAGUGGCUUCACCAUCCCAGUCAACCACACUAAAAGACUUAACAUCACUUUUGACGCUCAACCUAAUCCUCUGCGCUUAGUCACACAUUCAUAGCACUGUGUGGGGAAGAAAAAGCGUUUUCAUGCACUCUUGCUCUCCCUCUGGAUAACACCCUAAUUCAGCCUGUCAUGAUUUAUUUGGAUUUUGCAAUAGCUUGAAACCAACUUUGCAUGCCUCCAUUUUCCACCUCUUCCAGCCCUUUGUAUUAAUAGCACCAAUGUUUUAGUGCCUUAAAAUAUCCGGCGGAUCACUUGAUGUCAGGAGUUCAAGACCAGCCUGGCUAACAUGGUAAAACCCCGCCUCUACUAAAAAUAAAAAAAUUAGCUGAGUGUGGUGGCGUGCGCCUGUAGUCCAAGUUACUCAGGAAGCUGAGGCAGGAGAAUCGCUUGAACCCGGGAGGCGGAGGUUGCAGUGAGCCGAGAUCACGCUAGUGCACUCCAGCCUGGAUAACAAAAGUAAGAAGACUCUGUCUCAAAAAAUAAAUAAAUAAAUAAUAAAUAAAUAAAAAGACAAAAUCCUUAACUCUCCUACAAUGAACUUUUGGUUUAAAUAGUGGAGUACCAUAAGAGCUUCUCACUUCUUUCUCCCAUUUUAUUUUUUCUUUUCUUUUCUUUUCUUUUUAGAUGGAGUCUCACUCAAUCACCCAGGCUGGAGUGCAGGGGCAUGAUCUUGGCUCGCUGCAGCCUCCCUCUCGGAUUCAAGCAAUUCUUUCACCUCAGCCUCCCGAGUAGUAGAAAUAGGGUUUCACUGUGUUGGCCAGGCUGGUCUCGAACUCCUGACCUCAAGUGAUCUGCCCAACUCAGCCUCCCAAAGUGCUGGGAUUACAGGUGUAAGCCACUGUACCCGGCUUUUCUCCCAUUUUCUUAUUUAUGUAUUUAUUUUAAAUUAUUUUUCAUUUUUGUGAGAUGGAGUCUCGCUCUUUCGCCAGGCUGGAGUGUAGUGGCGCGAUCUCAGCUCACUGCAGCCUCCGCCUCCCGGGUUCAAGCAAUUCUUCUGCCUCAGCCUCCUGAGUGGCUGGGACUACAGGCAAGUACCACCAGGCACAGCUAAUUUUUGUAUUUUUAGUAGAGAUGCGGUUUUACCAUGUUGGCCAGGAUGGUCCCGAUCUCUUGACCUCGUGAUCUGCCUGCCUCGGCCUCCCAAAGUGCUGGGAUUACAGGUGUGAGCCAUCGCACCCAGCCUUUAUUUAUUUAUUUAUUUAUUUUUGAGAUGGAGUCUCAUUCUGUCGCCCAGGCUGGAGUAUAAUGGUGCAAUCUUGGUUCACUGCAACCUCUGCUUCCCAGGUUCAAGCGAUUCUCCUGCCUCAGUCUUCUGAGUAGCUGGGAUUACAGGUGUCCACCACUAUGCCCAGCUAAUUUUUGUACUUUUAGUAGAGACAGGAUUUCAUCAUGUUGGCCAGGCUGGUCUCAAACUCCUGACCUUGUGAUCUGCCCACCUGGGCUUCCCAAAGUGCUGAGAACACAGGUGUGAGCCACUGCACCCGGCCUUUUCUCCCAUUUUCUAAGGUGACCAUAAAAAAUUUUCUUUUCUUUUUUCUUUUGAGACAGGGUCUUGCUGUGUUGCCCAGGCUGGAGUUCAGUGGCGCAAUCUGGGCUCACUGCACACUCCACCUUUGGGGCUCAAGCGAUCCUCCCACCUUACCUCUCAAGUAGCUGGGACUACAGGUAUGCAACACCACGCCCAGCUAUUUUUUCGUAUUUUUAGUAGAGGCGGGGUUUCACCAUGUUGGCCAGGCUGGUCUCAAUCUCCUGACCUCGUGAUCCGCCUGCCUUGGCCUCCCAAAGUGCUGGGAUUACAGGCGUGAGCCACUGCACCCAGCCUGUAUUAUGUCUUUUUAAAAAUUUAAACAUGUAUUACCUUGGGAAAAAAUUAAUAUUAAUAAGAAGAAACCUUUAGACUGUACUUUCAGGGAUCAUUUCUGUAAUUCGUUACUAGAGAAAUUUCUCUGAAUGUGUAGAGCAGUUAAUUUUUUUUAUUAUUUUAAAUAAAAUUAAAAAAAAAAAAACUGGCCAGGUGCAGUGGCUCAUGCCUGUAAUCCCAGCACUUUGGGAGGCCAAGGCAGGCAGAUCACGAGGUCAAGAGAUCAAGACCAUCCUGGCCAACAUGGUGAAACCCCGUCUCUACUAAAAAUACAAAAAUUAACUGGGCGUGGUGGCUCAGGCCUGUAGUCCCAGCUACUCGGGAGGCUGAAGCAGGAGAAUCACCUGAACCCGGGAGGUAGAGGUUGCAGUGAGCCGAGAUUGCACCACUGCACUCCAGCCUGGUGACAGAGCGAGACUCCAUCUCAAAAAAAAAAAAAAGAAACUUUCUAGCUUCCCUGUUCCCUUUUGCCUACAUGACAAGGCUUAAAUCGCCACAUCGCGCUCUUUUAAAUAGGGCCUCAGCCUGCCUUCUGAGCUCAUCUGACAGCCUUCUCCCCAGCUUCGCCCAUGCCAGUCACACAUUUCUUUAAGGAAAUAUAUUGAGCACCUACGGUAUGCUAGUGGGUAUAGAAACAUGAAUAAGACAUCCUUAGUUCCUCAAUGAAUUAUCUAAUGGCAGAAACAGAUGCAUAAAAAGUAAAUACACUUCAGGGGAUUCGAUGCUGAAAUAAAAGCAAAGACAAUGGCCUCUUCUAUGGAAAGGCAAAAAGCAACACUUUGCCCCAGUUUGUCUGUCAUUUCUGGCUCCAUGCCCUUGAUAAUGCUGGUUUGUUUGGUUGAGGUUUUGUGUGUGGGUGGCUGUACAGAAGGACAACAUGACAUUUUCUCUUACCAGUCCUGCCCUCUCCCGCCCGCAAGAAACAAAGGCUUUUUCUUCCUUGCUCACCAAUCAGUUUGUCCAUUAUGCUGUGAUUCUAUUUCAGUCAGGAUGCGUUAUAAGACAGUAAUUAAGAAGGCCAGGCCAGGCACAGUGGCUUACGCCUGUAAUCCCAGCACUCUGGGAGACUGAGAUGGGUGGAUCACCUGAGGUCAGGAGUUCGAGACCAACCUGGCCAACAUGGUGAAACCCCGUCUCUACUAAGAAUACAAAAAUUAGCUGGCCGUGGUGGUGGGUGCCUAUAAUCCCAGCUAGUUGGGAGGCUGAGGCAGGAGAAUUGCUUGAACCCGGGAGGUGGAGAUUGCAGUGAGCCGAGAUUGUGCCACUGCACUCCAGCCUAGGCAAUACAGUGAGACUCUGUCUCAAAAAAAAAAAAAAAAAAAAAAAGGUAAUUCAAGAAUAUUUAAUGGAGACUUUGGGACCUGAACGGGGGUUAAAGGAUGGAUAACAGCCAGAUGGCAGGAGUGGCCAGUGCAAAAAAUUUAUCUCUGGGAAAGAGCACAUGCAUGGGGACUAGUGAAGCAGUCAGCCUGGCUGCAGAGAAGGUGUUGCUAGUUAAUGGGAGAUAAGGUUGGUACAUGGGAUAAAGUUAUGGGCAUGAACACAGGCACAGGUGUUUAUAUCUGAAGUAAACAGGGACUCUGUAGGCUCUUGAGCAAAAAUAACAUGAUAAAAUCAAUACUUGAACAUUAGUGUGAAAGUUAGCAGGAUGCAAAAUGAAUUCCUGGUGUGCCUCCUUCCCAAACUCUCCACACUGGAUUAGCCCCCACACUUGGCAUGGAGCUAAAUGAAGACUAUCCCUCGAAGUUUUAGCAACGAAAGGGAAAAAAGAGUCAAUGGCUGCCUAUAAAGAGCAGCAGGGUUAAACAAAGAUAAAUUUGAAAAGAAGAGCAGAUUUGGAAGAAAACAGCAAUAUUCAGUUUUUAAUUCACCAAAUAUUUACUGAGCCUUUAGUACAUGCAAAACACUGCUAAGUACUGUGCCGAAUAUACAGUUCCUCUUUUCAAGGAGAGAGUAAUACAGGUACACAGCUCCCUAUCAUGGAAUGCAAGAAUGCUGGGAGAAUAGGAAUGAAGAAGAGAGUAUUCUAGACAAGUGGCUCUCAAACUUUUUGGUCUCAGGACCCCUCAAUACUCUUAAAAAUUAUUGAAGGCCUCAAAGAGCUUUUGUUUAUGUGGGUUUUGUCUAUCUAUCAAUAUUUUCAAUAUUAGAAAUUAAAACAAAAAUCUGGCCGGGCGCGGUGGCUCAUGCCUGUAAUCCCAGCACUUUGGGAGGCCAAGGCAGGCAGAUCAUGAGGUCAAGAGAUCGAGACUAUCCUGGCCAACAUGGUGAAACCCUGUUUCUACUAAAAAUACAAAAAUUAGCCGGGCAUGGUGGCACGCGCCUAUGGUCCCAGCUACUUGGGAGGCUGAGGCAGGAGAAUCGCUUGAACCCAUGAGGUGGAGGUUGCAGUGAGCCGAGAUUGAGCCACUGCACUCCAGCCUGAGCAACAGACCAAGACUCUGACUCAAAAAAAAAAAAAAACCCAAAGUCUAAAAAGAUGUAUUUACCCAUUUUUGAGUAGCGAUAUUAAACCCAUUACAUGUUAUCAUAAACAUUUUAAGAAAAAUAUAUUUUCUAAAACAAAGAAAAAUAGGUACAACAAAGAGUUAUUCUGUUUAAUGUAUUUGCAGAUCUCCUUACUGUCUGGCAUAUAGAAGAAACCUGGAUUCUCAUAUCUGACUCUGCCUUCAAACUAUUGUGAUUUUUUUUUUAAGUAUUUGAAGCAAACCUGUCCUCAUACAGACAUGGAGUAGGAAAAGGGAGGAAUUUUCAGACCCCUUGAAAGAGUAUUAGGGACCCCCAGGAGUCUUUGGUUCACAUUUUGAGAACCCCUUUUUUAAACUAUAAUUAGUUAUAUAAUCCUCCAGUAGGAUUUAUUUGUCAAAAAAACUCCCUGCAUUCCCAACACUAAUGAGAGCUAAUAGAAUGGGAAUGACACUUGUCAGUUUUUUUGUUUGUUUUUUUGCCCAGGCUGGAGUGCAAUGGCGCGAUCUCGGCUCAAGAGAUUCUCCUGCCUCAGCCUCACGAGUAGCUGAGAUUACAGGCGCAUGCCAUCACACCCGGCUAAUUUUUGUAUUUUUUGUAGAGAUGGAGUUUCACCGUGUUGCCCAGGCUAGUCUCAAACUCCUGAGCUCAAGUGAUCUACCUGCCUCGAUCUCCCAAAAUGCUGGGAUUACAGGUGUGAACCACCGCGCCUGGCCUAAAUUGUUUUUUUGUAAUCUAAAAAGAGGAAACUAAAUUUUACUAAUUGUUGUGCCAAACCCCUAUUAACCUCUGUAAGGAAGGCACCAGGUUCAAGAGGCCAAAGGAGAGACCCAGAACCAGCAAAUAAGACCUGGGGUUUUAUUAGGGGAUUACAUACAUGGAAGAGAAUCCAGUGGCAGCAGGCUGGAAAGGGGAAUUGCCUUAAUUAGAGAAAUGGUCCAGUGGCAGUGGGAUGGACAAGAUAUCUGUCUUACCUACAAUCCAAUGGUGGCAGGUUGGACAACAUGACCCCCUGCCUAUAGUCCGGGGCUGGUGCACUGGACAUCACAGCCACAUGGCCCAGUGACGACUGGCUGCGCAGAAAAACCACAAUCAUUUGCAAAUAGUAUGCAAUUAAUAUAGCAUUUUCACCUAACACCCUCCCUCUAACAACCUCCACUUGGCAAGCUGCAUCCAACCCAAAACUCAGGGCCUAAAUCCCCUGUAUGGCCCCUGGUCCACUGUGUUAUGGGAUCCUUGGGGGUGUUGCUUUUCCAGCCGGAAACCUCUGUGGCCAGUGGCGCCUUUGCCUGAGUUUUGCUCAGGCCCAUUGGGCCGAAUCAGCCUGUCAGGCUGUGCUCAGCUCAUGCUACCUGCCAAGAUCCCACACCUUCUGAGAUGAGUGGAGUGGAGUGGUGACAGGUGUGUGAGCAAGUGAGCACGGGGUCCAGCCACUGCAAACAGCCAGGCACAUCGGCUGCAGUAGGGCAGGCAGCUCCAGGCACCACCACGGGCACUGGCUCCCUGCGAAGCUGCAGCUGAACCAGGUGUACCACAAGUAGCUUCCACAGCUGGCACUGGGGAACGUGGUGCUGCCCAGAAGCUUGGAGAUGCCAGGAAAUGCAGUGUCAAAGAGUAUGUCACAGCCUUGGCUUGGGGAGCUUCUAGGUCUGAGCUCAUCAAAGGGCCACAGCUCUUCUCUCCUUGUCUCCUGCAAUGUGGCAAGCAAGGGGUGUGUUUCAGCCCUGUUUGUGUUACAGCUCUUUUAGACCCGCCAUGCGGCAGGUCCUGAGUUCUCGUCCUGUGUCCAGAAAGAAUGAGGUUUCAGCUGACAUCACUCUCUCAAAAGAAUCGCUGGCACAGGAAUCUUCAUCUCAAGUUCUGCUUCUUGAGAACAUAGCCUGAAACAAGCGUAUGAUUUUAAAACAAUCAUGCAAAGAGGACAAGGAUUGAAAAGAUCAAUAAUGAAGAUAAAAGCAACAACAACAAAAUGGCAGAACUAGUUCUUUUCCUACUUCUGGUAUAAUUUCUUCUUAGCCAAAAUAUGUGAUAAAAAUGACAGUUUAAUAAAACCUAACAAGAUGUCAGUUAAAAGAGAACUACAAAGAGGACUAUUUGAAAAAAAAAUUCUAUCCACUUUCUUUUUUUUUUUUUUUCGAAAUGGAGUCUUGCUCUGUCACCCGGCCUGGGCAACAGAGUGAGACCUUGUCUCAAGAAAAUUUUUAAAAAGGCAGUAUCUUCUGAUAUUAAGGAAGAUGGGUAUUUCUAGUGGAAUUUCAAUAAAAAUUUUUCUAUAAAUAGGGUAUAGGACUAAAAAAUGAGUAUCCUGAUUUUUUACUACUUCUUUGAAUCUUGGCAUCUUUUUCAAUUAUGUUUCUCAUCUAUGAUAGAUAUUAAAACCAAUAAUUAAGAUAAAUUGAAUGUAAACCCAUACCUCCUCAGCAGAUCUGUAGAACUUAUGUAAAAAAAUAAAAAUACAAAAUAAAUAAAACCAGACCUUCAAGCAUCUUUAUUUCCAUGAUAUUAAACCAAGAUUAAAAAAAAAAAAUCUAACGGUGGCCGGCACAGUGGCUCACACCUGAAAUCUCAGUGCUUGGGAGGUUGAGGCAGGAGGGUCACUUGAGGCCAUUGGAGUUCAAGGUUGCAGUGAGCUAUGAUAAUGCCACUGCAUUCCAGCCUGGGUGACAGAGUGAGACAUUGUUUCUUAAGUAAAUAACUUUAAUGAUUACUAUUUAUAAUUGUAGCAAAAUAUUUA